GAUCCGUAGGUGAACCUGCGGAUGGAUCAUUAUCACGUAUCCACGUAUCAACCAUUGUGAACUGUUUUACCUUUGAGAGGAGGCGAGUGAUUAGGAGGGUUUAGAAGGAUUUAUUUCUUUUUAUUCUCUUUUUCCUCUCAAAGCGUAUUUUAAUCACUUCAUUUUCAUUAACAAUUUUAACCGUAUUAUUUAAACAUUGACUUACUUAUUUCAUACUCUUAACGGAGAUGAAAUUUCAUUACGAAAUAUAAGAACAACUCUUAGCAACGGAUAUCUUGGUUCUCGCAUCGAUGAAAAAC
rnacentral:misc_RNA from 1 species